rnacentral:rRNA from 1 species
UACGUAGGGUGCAAGCGUUGUCCGGAAUUAUUGGGCGUAAAGAGCGCGUAGGCGGUCCGAUAAGUCGGCUGUGAAAGUCAUGGGCUCAACCCAUGAAAGCCGGCCGAUACUGUCGGACUAGAGUCCGGAAGAGGCGAGUGGAAUUCCCGGUGUAGCGGUGAAAUGCGCAGAUAUCGGGAGGAACACCAAUGGCGAAGGCAGCUCGCUGGGACGGUACUGACGCUGAGGCGCGAAAGCGUGGGGAGCAAACAGG